UCCCUAGUGGCUCAGAGGAUAGGGCAUAUGUCUGCAAUGCAGAAGACCCGGGUUCAAUCCCUGGGUUGGGAA
rnacentral:tRNA from 1 species